rnacentral:rRNA from 1 species
CGGCGGACGGGUGAGUAACGCGUGGGUAACCUACCCUGUACACACGGAUAACAUACCGAAAGGUAUGCUAAUACGGGAUAAUAUAUUUGAGAGGCAUCUCUUGAAUAUCAAAGGUGAGCCAGUACAGGAUGGACCCGCGUCUGAUUAGCUAGUUGGUAAGGUAACGGCUUACCAAGGCGACGAUCAGUAGCCGACCUGAGAGGGGGAUCGGCCACAUUGGAACUGAGACACGGUCCAA